rnacentral:rRNA from 1 species
CCCUUAGAUGUCCGGGGCUGCACGCGCGCUACACUGAAGGAAUCAGCGUGCUAAAACCAUUGUCGAAAGGCAUUGGUAAACCCAUUAAAAUCCUACGUGAUUGGGAUCGGGAAUUGCAAUUAUUUCCCUUGAACGAGGAAUUCCCAGUAAGUGUGGGUCAUAAGCUCGCGUUGAUUACGUCCCUGCCCUUUGUACACACCGCCCAUCGCUGCCCGGGACUGAGCCGUUUCGAGAAAAGCGGGGACUGCUGCUGUCGGGGCUUUCGGGCCUUGGCUUCGGUGGAAACCGCUUUAAUCGCAGUGGCUUGAACCGGGCAAAANUCGUAACA